rnacentral:tRNA from 1 species
GUCCUCGGUGUCGAAGUAGGUGGCGUCGAGGGUCGUUUCGACCGGCUCCGCCGUGCUCGCGAUCGGGCCGACCCCGGUCAGGUCGGGACGGGGCCGCC